UACGGGGGGAGCAAGCGUUGUUCGGAUUUACUGGGCGUAAAGGGCGCGUAGGCGGCCACCGCAAGUCGACUGUGAAAUCUCUGGGCUUAACCCAGAACGGUCAGCCGAUACUGCGGGGCUAGAGUGCAGAAGGGGCAACUGGAAUUCUCGGUGUAGCGGUGAAAUGCGUAGAGAUCGGGAAGAACGUCGGUGGCGAAGGCGGUCUGCUGGGCCGUUGCUGACGCUGAGGCGCGACAGCGUGGGGAGCAAACAGG
rnacentral:rRNA from 1 species